CACACUUGAAUUUUUCACUCGUCUUUCCCAGUUUUUUUCUCUUUUUUGUUUGCGUUCUUCUACACCCUCCAAUGCUUCAGUCAAAGCAAAUUGAACCGCUGAAAUCGGACGUGGCUGAGGAUGUGCUCGCGAUGUGUAAAAGAAAAAAUGAUUACAUAAAUGACGACGGGUGAUAUCACUUCGAAAGAUUUGUAACAUCUUUCUGUAGGAGGUGGACAUCAUAACAAUCAAAAAAUCAGAGAGCACCGGGUUACAGUUUUAGUCUAGCUAUUUCAAAUAUGAGUG
rnacentral:ribozyme from 13 species